ensembl:lncRNA
GUCAGGUUUGUAGAACCGCUGAGCUCGUAAAAGAUGAAUGUGCUGCAUGUUUGAACAAAGAGAGGGAAGCCGAGAGAGAUAAGAAAAACAAACCUCGACCGGGCAGAGAAGAACAAGACGUGGAGAGAGAAAAGCAGGAGAGUCGACGGCUUCACGUGUCAACAUUGCAUCAGACUCCAUCUUUGUCUGAACCACGGACUGAAAUUAAAGAUGGAUGACAUGACAGCUGACAAAACUGAAGUCUAAUAACCACCAUCGCCCCCUGGUGUCUGGCUACAGUAUAGGUCAUAAGCCCCGCCCCCUCAUUCUCAUCACUGAUGUUUGUUCACGUGUUCAUGUUUCUGAUCACUUUGCUUCUCGUUAGUUAUUUGAUGAGAAAAAAACAGGGCUGAGACGUCAUGAUUGACAGCUGACAUCGCGAUUGUUCGAGAUGACGUCACCAACACAAGAUGGCGUCGCCAAUCCAAGGAAACAAAAUAGUGCAGCAGAUUAGAUUAUUUCAUCCAGAUGGUUGGACGAUUCUUGAAGACUUUGCAAAUAUAAUAAUAAUAAUCGUUUCCGUUAAUAAUAAGAAAGUGUUUCGGUCUAAUUAGCUAAUGUUAGCAUGCUAGCAACUCAAACCAAGAUGCUGAGCAUUGCAAACAUUACAACUGAGAAACAUCUGCAUGUGUUGUCGCAUUGUCGUCAUGAGCAUGUUAGCAUGGUGAUCUUAGCAUUUAGCUCGAAGCACCUGUGUCCCCUAAGUUGAGCAGCUGCUGACGCACCACACACAUUUGACUCUGAACAAUAAUGUUACUGUAGAACCGGAUGAACAGAAAUAAAAACUGUCGUUUUUAUUGUGCAACAGAGCCGCAGUGAACUGGGACCUUUGAACUCGCACAGCUGGUUUCAUUCCUCAGUGAACCAGAGCAGAUACAGAGAGCUGAGAGAAAUACUGACUUUUGUAAUUUGUUCAUUCUUCAAGUAGAAUUAUUUUGUUUAAUAAAGAUUUUAGAGCCGCGUCCAGUGCAGAACAGCAGAGUGUCUCCAGUGCUGACUCCGGUAUCUCACUUCUCUCUCAGUGAACGUCACCAGACUGGAUUAACACGUCAGUGUGUCAGAGCGUCUGUCCUCGCCUUGGUUCCCACAAAGGUCCAUAAACCGUGUGUCUCUGCGGGAUGCACAGCGAGUGUGACCUCAGCUCUGUUUGCAAAACCAGAGCGCGGAGGAUUUGAGCUGCGGCCGCGCAAACACAUCGAGGGAGAGAUUGUCCAGAACAUACAGGCGUCAAAAUGUGCAAGAAACAACUUCAUUCAGUUUCCAGCAAAGUGUUCCUGUUCUCACAGCAGGACGUCCCAGGGAAAGCAUCCCACAGAGAAGAGACAGAAGUCGUGCAGUUUGUCAGACUCACUGUGAGGCAGCUCAGAUCACUUUCUCUGCUUCCUCCUUUCACUUCGCUGCAGAUGGGCUUUUCCUCGCAUGGAACAUCCAGUCAUUUGAGCGCCGACACUCCUGCAGCUCGCCGCCCUGCAGCCGAGGAGGGAGGAACUGGAAUUUGACCCUGGUGCUGUAGGCAGGACGAAGAGUAAAGAAGGAAGGGAGGGAGGAAAGGUUUUGAAUAAACAGUCUGCUGCCUAUUGUCACACCUCCCCUAGAGAAGUUAAUUUAAAGUUUUUGUUUCCGCUCUGACCUGAUAUUUCCUGUAAACCUCUAUGAACAAAGGCAAAAUGCCAACUGCUGUUUUCACUAUCAGUCAAUCUGCAGCACUAGGCCGCUUCAAUAAAAGCUCCUUUGAAUGACUUUGUGUUGCUAGUUUUCCGGCUCAUUAGUUGGCUCCAUAUAAAAAUGACAAACAACAUGUAAAUAUCCUCAUUUGCUUUUGUUGACUUUUUUUGUCCCGAAACCUCCUGGGGGAUUAAUAGACUCAACAUGAUUCUCAGACUUCACAGCAGCUUCAGUUCAGUGUUGUUCUUUUCAGUCUAAGACAGUCGGAAGACAGGAAGGAAAAACAAGCAAAUCCUGUUCCACAUCAUUAAAAUCUGGUCUGUGUCUGAUCUUAGAGACAAACUGACCAACUGACUGAACACCGAGGUUGGUUGUUCAUAAAAAAUGAUCAAGGGGGAAUUGUAACUUGUAAGAAAAAACAGAGGCUUCGUUUACAUGAAAAUUCAUAAUCAUUAGGGGAGAGAGAGAGAACGAGGGAGACAGCGAGCGAGAGCGAGCGAGAGCGAGCGCUGCACACAGCUCUACACUGAAGCAACGCCAGAGACAAACAAGUUAGACGAUGGAGCAGCCGCCACAGUCUCAGUGAUUAAUGGGAAAUACUGGUGUGAUUAUAAUAUAUAUAUAUAUAUGUAUAUAUAUAUAUAUAUAUAUAUAUAUAUAUAUAUAUACAAAACAAAACAAAACAAAAACAAUAUAUAUAUAUAUAUAUAUAUAUAUAUAUAUAUAUAUAUAUAUAUAUAUAUAUAUAUAUAUGUAUUGUUUUUGUUUUGUUUUGUUUAGAUAAUUAAUGUCUGUCACUAAAUAUUUUUUGGGGGUAUUUUUAUUUCUGUUUUUUGGUCCUUCCCGUUGGCUGUGUACGGUCCAGAGGCCGGAGGUUUCCCAGCUCUGCAGUAACAGACGCCGAAUCCUAAACGGUUGUAAAACAAAGAUCAGAUCAGAUCAGAUGGAUGAUAACGACAUUCAUUCCAGCUUCACUGGUGCAGGAGAAAAAUCUGAGCGUUGAUUCCCGAUUCGGCUGAUUCGUGUUGCUUCCAGACGUAGCAUCUGCUGCUGUGAUGAUGACAUCAUUCAGUGAAUCAUCCUUUUUGUUCUACAAUGACAAACAGAUGCAGAUUACUAAUUAUUGGGUAACUGUUUUAAUCUGUUUGUGUUUAGAUCCACCAAAACAUACCAACAGACAUACGGAGUCUACAAGAUAGUAAAUCAAUUCAUCAACUCUGAACACAUUUUACAAACAAAAAUAGGAUAUCUUUGUAUUUUUUUCACACAUUGAUUUAUUAAUCGAUCAAUAAUUAGACCUAAUAAGGAGAAAUUAUUUUUAAAAAUCUUGUUUACUUUUUUAUAACUGAAGAAAAAAGGAAUUUCAUAAGAAUUUUUUAAGUAUUUAUUCGAGGCUGUAUACUGGCCUGGAGGCCGCAAUAUGUAAUAAUUGAUUUUUAAAUAAAUGUUUUAAUGUCUGCUUCUUAAGUUAUUGAUUAAG